rnacentral:lncRNA from 1 species
AUGGGAGCCCGGGGGAGCGGAUCCUGCUCACUCCAUUCAAGAAUCCCAAGUAUUCAAGAUGGACGGCAGGGAGUGUGGAAGGAGAAAGGGGGCGAGGGGGCGAGAGCGAGCCGGGCGGAGGCGAGGGCGGCGGGCCGGGCGGGCGGGCGCGGGGCGCGGGGCGGGCGCGGGGCGCGGGGCCGGGCCGGGGCGGGCGCGGGGCGCGGGCGGGGCGCGGCGAGGCCCGGGAGGGGCGCGGGGAGGGGAGGGCAGAGAAAGAGCCCGGGAAGAAGGAGGUGGCGGGCAGAGGAACCUAACGACGAGCCUGUGUGGGUGUCGGGAGCUCCCAGAAGGGUAACGCCGGCGAUUUUCGGUUGUGCUGUGCCUCGGGCGGGGAGGGGUGGUCCGGGCUCUUUCUCUCGCCUUCCCGCGCCCCCUGCGUCCCCCACGCGCGGGCAUCCCUUCUGGGGCCGCCCUCCCCUCCCCUCCCCUGCCCCUGCCCUGCCCUGCCCUCCCCUGCCCACGGCCGCAGCGGGGAAGCUCGGGGCACGCUCGCCGGGCGGCUUCCCUGUCAUUUUCCAGCGGGGGGUGUGGUGGGGCGGGGGGGGGUGCGGCGGGGCAGGGCUGAGGCCGGGCGGUCCGUCGGCGCCCGGGCGCGUGUGCGGGGGGCGGGGGGGCGGGGGUGUGUGCGGGGAGGGCCGAGCCGGCCGGGGAGUUGUGCAUCCUGAGAAGUUGUGGGGUGAGCCGGGGUGGCUGCGUGCGGGUGCGAGGCCGGCCCUGGAGCUCGCAGGGUGCGGGACGCGGGGGUGCGGGGCGGGGAUCGGGGGUCCUGGGGCUCGCGCCGCACAGCUUGCUGCCCGGAGAAGUGCGGAGUGCGGGCUGAGCCGAGUGGCAAGUAGGGCUGGGAGUUUGUGUGCGCGCGCGUGUGGUCCAGCCCGGAGGGGUGUGUGUGCGGGGGCACGGCUGGGUGUCGCGGGAGAGAGCCCCCACCCUGCACUCCCCCUGCCCCUCUCCGCCCGCUCCCCGAGCCUGGCGCCCAGGACCCUCCGGUCUCCUGCGCCCGUCGCCAUGGCUGCGGGGAGGGGGUGGGAGGAGACAGUUGGGGCCGGCCCCUGCCCCUGCUGCUCCGGCUAA